UACGGAGGGAGCUAGCGUUGUUCGGAAUUACUGGGCGUAAAGCGUGCGCGGGCGGUUCGUUAUGUCUGUUGUGAAAGCCCCGGGCUCAACCUGGGAAUGGCAAUGGAAACUGGCGAGCUAGAGUGUGGCAGAGGGGGGUGGAAUUCCGCGUGUAGCAGUGAAAUGCGUAGAGAUGUGGAGGAACACCGAUGGCGAAGGCAGCCCCCUGGGCUAACACUGACGCUCAGGCGCGAAAGCGUGGGGAGCAAACAGG
rnacentral:rRNA from 1 species